UAAUUUAAAAGAAAUAUUGAAAGAAAAAGAAAAAAGAAUCCACCUUCAUCUAAUCAAGAGUCUCUUCCAUAUGCUAGCUAGGUGCACACACACACACACAAAGCAGAGUAUCUUGCCUUUUCCUGGGGCCAACAGGCAUCUAAUUAUAUUUGGCUCAGACAAUGCAGCAAAUCUCCAACUUCUCAUUGCCCUUACAAAGACCAUUACAAUCCUGUUCCCAUAAGCUAUCCCAGGAUUUGAGUCCACAGUUGAUGGCCCCAGGGCCUUUGGUGCUUACACAUCCCCCUGUUGACGUCUGGAUGGAUGUGAGCAAAGGGCAGCUUACAGAAUCUACUCCGUCCAGAAACUCUUUUUAACAAGAACACAAUGCGAUACGGUAGACUUUGUUUAAACUGAGAAAUAUCAAGUCUCUGAUUAGCUCAAUCCCGACACACAGGUCAGAGAUGUGGGUCCACUCCCUCACCCUCCAAAGGGUGUGAUUUGCCACAGGAUGGCAGCAGCAUUCGACCCUGUGAAGUUCCUAUUGAGGACCCAGAGGAACAGGGACAGCAGGGCUCCAACUGCUGCAGCCCCACUCCAGCAGAACCCCGGACAGCUUCUGGAACUGCCUGGAGACCUGCUUCCGCAUCAGUGUUGGAGACUGCUGGUGACAGCCCUCUUCAGAAAUGUGGCCCUACUUUUCUACUUACUGAGGCUCAAAAUGGAAAGAAAAAGAGAAGAUUCUUCUUUCAUCCAGAGAGAGGAAGAAGAAGAAGAAAAAAAAAAAAAAAAAAACAACCACAAUCUUACCUAACAGCUCCAUCUCACUCCCGGGGAUGAUAGUGAUAAUUGUUUUAAUUAAUUCAAUUUCUAACUUCGGAGUAAUUUCAUUUCUUCCUUGACCGGAUGAUAAUGUCUCUGGUCAAUGAAGUGAAGUUUCACUAGAUAAUACCAGUCAGGGUCACUUGGUCAGAUCAGAAAAGUCCUUGCCCUCUUGGCAGGGGGUGGGGGGUGCAGGGUGGGGGCAUAGCCCAGAAAUGAGAGUUCCACUCUAAGAGAAUAGAGCUGUUCCUGCAUCAGAGAGCAGUGUCGUGCUCGGAAGUCUUCCCAGGGCAGUGGUGGAGGUUCCCCUAUACAUCACAGGUGUGGGAGUUCUCCACAACAUGAGAGUUAUUCUCCUGGGAAAAGGAACUCAGAGGCAGGUAGCCGUAGGUGAGAAAGGGUAAUGUCACAGACCAGAAUUCAUGCAGAGCAGAGUGAGCAGAAGGAGCUUCAGAUGCAACAUGAAAACUGACCUGUGACCCAAGACCAGUCCUUAAGUUACGUACCCCCAAAUGAGAGCCCGAGGAAGGAAAAGCUGACAGACAGCUGGUUCUGGGAUAUCACUGCCCCGGGGCCCUUCUUCAAGGGCCCAUUAUAAGCUGCACAGCAUCAGUGAGGUUCUAUCAUAGGGACCUUGGUAUGUGUGAGAGCAUGCGUGUGAAGGGGAGUGUGCGUGAGAAUAAGUGUGAGAGACUGAGUGUGUGUGCAUAUAUGUGAGAGGGUGUUGUGAGGGUUGUGUGAGAGAGUGGAUGGUAAGUGUGUGUGUGUGUGUGUGUGUGUGUGUGUGAUGCUGGAAGGAAUCCUGACAUAAGCCAGGUUGCCUGAGUGACCUUUAUACCAGAUUAAAAUCCCCAAGGAGAAGGAAUGGUAGGACCCAGCAGGGCACUGGUGGGAAGAAGCAGGAAUGGAUUCAGUACUUAGUAAACAGAGGCAACUGAAUCAGGUGACUGGGGAAAGAGAGGUGGGGAGUGGACGUCAGGAGGCAUCUGAGCUUGUGACUUGAGCAGCUGGGUGAAUAGCGGCCCCCAAAGGGGCAGGAUGGGAUGGGUGGGAGGGAGGUUCAAGAGGGAGUGGAUAUAUAUAUAUAUAUAUAUAUAUAUAUAUAUACACACAUAUGUGUGUGUGUGUGUGUGUGUGUGUGUAUGUAUAUGUAUAUAAACAGGGCAUGGCAACUCACUCAAGUAUUCUUGCUGGAAAAUCCCAUGGACAGAGGAACCUGGUGGGCUACAGCCCAUGGGGUUACAAAGAGUCGGACAUGACUGAGCAACUGAGCAUAUAUAUACAUAUACAUAUAUAUAUAUAUAUACAGUUAUAGACUGAUUUGCAAAGUUGUAUGACAGAAAUCAACAAAAUAUUGUAAAGCAAUUAUCCUCCAAUUAAAAAUAAAAUAUAUAAUAGAGAAAAAUGAAAGCA
ensembl:lncRNA